GCGGGGGUGGCAGAGCCUGGUCAAAUGCGUAUGCUUGAGGUGCAUAUCCCUUAGUGGGUGCGCGUGUUCGAAUCACGUCCCCCGCA
rnacentral:tRNA from 1 species